UAUUUCAAAAUUGGUUCCAUCAACGAUUUCUUCAUCUUCUAUACUUGAUUCAGUCUAACAGAGAAGAUGAGAAAGAAAGGUCUUUCUGAGGCUAAACUUUUUAGACUGUUGCUAAACAAAAAUAAAAUUCCUUGAACAAAACAAAAACAUUUUCCUAUUGAAGAAUCAAGAAGGAUGUAUUCCAGCAUCACCAAUCAAGAACAGUUCUUCAUCAAAGUUCCUUUGCAGAGAAUGAGGAUGUCUUGGUGAUCUGAUGACCACAAAACAGACUGUACUUGUCCACUUGACUUCUCAUCAUCUGACAGAUUCCCUCAGUCUCUAUGAGUUCCUCCUCCCAAGAGAACGUCAGUCAAUAUUAUCUUUGAGUCUCACAAGAACUGAACAAUCUGUCAGGAUCAAAACAAGAGAGAACACCUUUAGGGAUUGAGCUCAGCUAUAAUAAAAAGAAUACAGCAGGGACAUACUGUACAGUAUAAGAGAACGUUUGACUUGAAGAACACGAUGUGUUUUCCCAAAGAGUUUUACGGCAGGAAGCUUGAAUCACAUAAUCAUGUAAGUCUGAGUACAUUUACUCAUUUAUUAAAUUUACUGCUGUUCAUUUCAUCAUUUCAUUAUUGGAUCAAAUUUUACAAGCAUGCCUGCUGAAAAGAGCAUCUUAUUUUUAUUAUUAGAUAUCAGACUUAAUUAUUCAGUGAACUAGCUCAAUACUUUUUGGUCUAACGAAAGAAUUGAGAAAGAAAACUAAGCUGUUGCCAUGUCUGUUAUUGAUAAAUUAAAGUCUAGACAUGACAGAGGGUUUUCAGAUACAGUAAGUCAGAAUCAUGUUUAAUAUUAAUAAAGGUGAAAAUUCAGUAGAAGGUCAGAGGUCUUGAAUAUAUUGUAAGUAAAUAAAAAAGUAUAAGUAAAUCUGAGAAAGAUAAAUGACUAUUUUGUGGUUAAGCCUAGGAGUUUGAUACUCUGUUGAAAAAAUAAGUCAAAUAGUCAAUAUAGUCAUCUAAAACCUACCAUAUAUUGAUAACAUUUGGCGACCACAGACCACAUUGCACUGUGAGGUCAAUGUAGGCAUGAUGUGGGCUUGAUUGGGUUCCAUGUUGGACUAUUUGAAUUAUCCCCAGCUGGUUGUGUCCGUGAUAAUCAGGUAAGUUUGAAAGAGUCUCACAACUGUGCCAAUGCAUUUACAAUACCAUCGAUGUAUUGUAUAAUUGAGUAAAUAUGAUUCCUUGAUUUACCUUUGUAAAGAAAUCUCAUUGCUCUCUGCUGUCUUUACCUGCAUCAGCCACCGUAAAGGGGAAGGGGUGAGCGUGGGACUGAGCCGUUGGUUGCAAUUUACAACCUCAACGCUAGAUGCCGCUAAAAAAUGCAAAUGCAAGCCUGUAGCUCUAACCCAAUCAUAACCUAUAUCAGUAAACCAGAGCAUAAAAUGUGAUUGGUCGACAGGGGUGUUGAUCCAGGACCAACAAGGAUGUUGACUGAGGAAAUGUGCUGUUUGUACUGUAAAUAAAUGUUCUGUUAAUAACCUUCAGGUAAAAAAGUCGCAAAUGCUCUUUGCCACCUUGUAUGACACAUAUACAGUAUUUUUGCCUUGUUUUCCGGUGAAAUACCUAAGGUAAUGACACUAAGAUGUGUUUUUAGAGAAUAUACUACUAACUACUUGAAUUAAGUAAUUAGCUAAUACAUUUUUUUUUAUCUAGUCUGUGAGAAAGAUAAUUAUUAUUUUUUAUUAUUUAUUGAGGAAGAGGAUGAUGUAGACAGUAAACUUUUUUUCACUGAUAGCUCAUUACGAACUAUGAAGAAUGACCUGCAGAGGGCAGCAGAGAAGAUCUAGAACAGGGUUCUCCAACCUUUUUGUGACUGAGGGCCCCAUGAAGGGAUAAAAUAGUCUCAAGGGCUACUUGUUUGAUAUACUCCAGUGUGUCUGUAUACACACACACACACACACACACACAUGCAUAUAUAUAUAUGCC